UACGUAGGGUGCGAGCGUUAAUCGGAAUUACUGGGCGUAAAGCGUGCGCAGGCGGUUUGCUAAGACCGAUGUGAAAUCCCCGGGCUUAACCUGGGAACUGCAUUGGUGACUGGCAAGCUAGAGUGUGGCAGAGGGGGGUAGAAUUCCACGUGUAGCAGUGAAGUGCGUAGAGAUGUGGAGGAAUACCGAUGGCGAAGGCAGCCCCCUGGGCUAACACUGACGCUCAUGCACGAAAGCGUGGGGAGCAAACAGG
rnacentral:rRNA from 1 species